GUGUGUGUGUGUGUGUGUGUGAGGAGGCGGGAUUCCUUAAUGUAACAAAGGCCUACAACUUUUCUCACGGUAGACUCUCUUCUGCUCCACACACACCUUCAUCUGUAGGUGAAACACUGAGGUUGUCUCCCUUCCUCUCUCAAACACACUAACUACAGUAUUCCCUUGGAAUCUCUCUAUCCGAUACACACACAGCUCACAUUCUCUCAAAAACACAUACAAGGGCACACACGGAACAAGAAGACUAUAAGAGUCAAUGGCUAGAAAAGUCUGAUCGUUGACUGGCUCUGCAGACUGCUUGCGUGUGAGCUCAUCUUCAUGGGUAGCGAUGGUGCAGAUUGGAAGCGGUUUACCACCAGGCAGCCCAUGCUAGGCUAACUUUAGCACUGUCGGUCUGGGCCUCUCUUUCCUAUCUGUUUGAGAGCAGGCUAGGUUAACUUUAGCACUGUCAGUCUGUCUGGGCCUCUCUUUCCUAUCUGUUUGAGAGCAGGCUAGGCUAACUUUAGCACUGUCCGUCUGUCUUGGCCUCUCUUUCUUAUCUGUUUGGGAGCAGGCUAGGCUAACUUUAGCACUGUUCGUCGGUCUGUCUGGGUCUGUCUUUCCUAUCUGUUUGGGAACAUGCUAGGCUAACUUUAGCACUGUCUGUACCUCUCUUUCCUAUCUGUUUGGGAGCUGAGCCGCAUGACCCAACAAGGGUCGAAGGUCACAUCUGCGGAACCCUUACACAUCCUGGGACUUCCAUCUCCAUGGCCACUAUUCAGCCUGACCGACAUGGACCUCCAUUGUUCAGACGGGGAGAUGGUGAAGGGUAGGGGGGAUUCAAUAGCCGCCAACAAAAGAUGAAAACCCCCAUCGCCCUCAGAAUGGUGAGAUUUCUCACACAAACACCCCCCCCCCCUCAUCGCCACUACCACCACAAUAAUCAUCCCCUCCCCCGUCGGACCUCUGCACAGUUGUAGCUAAUUUCCCGGGGAAGGCGUACGCCAGUUCCCAUUUGAUAAAAGCCUUGUCUUUUCAGGGAGUCGGCCGUGUGCAUUAACAGGCCGCGUAUCCAGUUUCAUAUUGAUUGAAGCCUCGCUCUCUGGGCGACACAGAUCUCUUUCAGAUGAAUGUUCCGAGAGCUCAGUGGUGUCUCAGUGCAACUCCGCCAGGGGAGGAUGGAGGCAGACAGAGAGGGAGGGAGGGAGGGAUGGGGCAUGGGUGAGGGAUGGGGGGAUAGAGAGACCGAGGGCAGGAAAGACAGAGCGAAAGAAAGAGGGAAGAAAGAGAAUAAGAGGACAGAGACAAACAGACAGGGAGAGAAUUAAUAUAUUUAUAUAUAUUUACGUUUGCCUA
ensembl:lncRNA